CAAAUUUCAAAUCAACAAAACCCUUCUCUCUCAUCCAUUUCUCUGUAACUUCUUCUUCUUUUCCUCUCUCUCUCUCUGUACAAAAUCUUUAGAGAGAGAAACAACCAUCAACAACCAAAAUCAAAACCAUUCUCAGAUCUCUUCUUCAAUGGCGAACAACCAGAAUCAGAAGCAACUGAUCUACGCUUUCGUAUCAAGAGGAACAGUUAUCCUCGCUGAAUUCACCGAAUUCAGUGGUAACUUCAACUCCAUCGCUUUUCAGUGUCUUCAGAAACUUCCUUCUACCAAUAACAAGUUCACAUAUAACUGUGAUAAUCACACCUUCAACUACCUUAUCGAUAAUGGUUACACUUAUUGUGUUGUUGCAGAUGAAACAACUGGAAGACAGGUUCCCAUGGCCUUUCUAGAGCGUGUCAAGGAUGAUUUUGUGUCAAAAUAUGGUGGUGAAAAGGCUUCUACAGCUCCUCCCAAUAGCCUUAACAAGGAGUUUGGGCCAAAGUUGAAGGAACAUAUGCAGUACUGUGUUGAUCAUCCUGACGAGAUAAGCAAGCUUGCAAAGGUGAAAGCUCAGGUUUCUGAAGUUAAAGGUGUCAUGAUGGAGAAUAUUGAAAAGGUUCUAGACAGAGGAGAAAAGAUAGAGCUUCUGGUGGACAAGACUGAUAACCUUCAUCACCAGGCACAAGACUUCAGGAGUUCUGGAACCUCAAUCCGUCGAAAAAUGUGGCUGCAAAACAUGAAGGUAAAGCUGAUUGUGUUGGGAAUUUUGAUAGCACUGAUCCUCAUAAUAGUCCUUUCUGUGACUCGGGGAUAAUAAGCACCAUUCUCUGUGGCCUUUAUUGUUAUUCCAACCUUGUGAUUAUCCAAGGCGAUGUCAAUGUAUGGCAUGUGUUUGUAUGUAAUAUAGAUUUCAAGUCCGUUGAAGUUGUCACUUUGUUCUAGUUUUAGGUGCUUUUGAAUAUAAAUUGGGUUGUCUGUUUGAAGUUUGGUUUCCAUUCAGAUUAUUCAUAUUGACAUUGUCAUCAAUUUUGUAAAUUGUUUGCUUUGCGAUCAUAUUUUUUUGUUUCCAAAUCUACCAUUUUUCAUUGUUAAA